UGGGGAAUAUUGCGCAAUGGAGAAGAACUCUGACGCAGCAAUACCGCGUGAGCGAAGAAGGUCUUCGGAUCGUAAAGCUCUGUUAUCAGGGAAGAAGAAAAUGACGGUACCUGAUGAGCAAGUCCCGGCUAACUACGUGCCAGCAGCCGCGGUAAUACGUAGGGGACAAGCGUUGUCCGGAAUCACUGGGCGUAAAGGGCGCGCAGGCGGUGAUUUAAGCAGGAUGUGAAAGGCUACGGCUCAACCGUAGACAUGCACCCUGAACUGGGUCACUUGAGUAUUGGAGAGGCAGGCAGAAUUCCUGGUGUAGCGGUGAAUGCGUAGAUAUCGAGGAGGAAUACCGGAGGCGAAGGCGGCCUGCUGGACAAAUCUGACGCUGAGGCGCGAAAGCGUGGGGAGC
rnacentral:rRNA from 1 species